GUGGGGUGACUGCGUACCUUUUGUAUAAUGGGUCAGCGACUUAUAUUCUGUAGCAAGGUUAACCGAAUAGGGGAGCCGGAGGGAAACCGAGUCUUAAUUGGGCGUUAAGUUGCAGGGUAUAGACCCGAAACCCGGUGAUCUAGCCAUGGGCAGGUUGAAGGUUGGGUAACACUAACUGGAGGACCGAACCGACUAAUGUUGAAAAAUUAGCGGAUGACCUGUGGCUGGGGGUGAAAGGCCAAUCAAACCGGGAGAUAGCUGGUUCUCCCCGAAAGCUAUUUAGGUAGCGCCUCGUGAAUUCAUCUCCGGGGGUAGAGCACUGUUUCGGCUAGGGGGCCAUCCCGGCUUACCAACCCGAUGCAAACUGCGAAUACCGGAGAAUGUUAUCACGGGAGACACACGGCGGGUGCUAACGUCCGUCGUGAAGAGGGAAACAACCCAGACCGCCAGCUAAGGUCCCAAAGUCAUGGUUAAGUGGGAAACGAUGUGGGAAGGCCCAGACAGCCAGGAUGUUGGCUUAGAAGCAGCCAUCAUUUAAAGAAAGCGUAAUAGCUCACUGGUCGAGUCGGCCUGCGCGGAAGAUGUAACGGGGCUAAACCAUG
rnacentral:rRNA from 1 species